AACGAACGCUGGCGGCAGGCUUAACACAUGCAAGUCGAGCGCAUCCUUCGGGGUGAGCGGCGGACGGGUGAGUAACGCGUGGGAACGUGCCCUCUUCUACGGAAUAGCCUCGGGAAACUGAGAGUAAUGCCGUAUACGCCCGCAAGGGGAAAGAUUUAUCGGAGGAGGAUCGGCCCGCGUUGGAUUGGGUAGUUGGUGGGGUAACGGCCUACCAAGCCGACGAUCCAUAGCUGGUUUGAGAGGAUGAUCAGCCACACUGGGACUGAGACACGGCCCAGACUCCUACGGGAGGCAGCAGUGGGGAAUCUUGGACAAUGGGGGCAACCCUGAUCCAGCCAUGCCGCGUGAUCGAUGAAGGCCUUAGGGUUGUAAAGAUCUUUCAGCUGGGAAGAUAAUGACGGUACCAGCAGAAGAAGCCCCGGCUAACUCCGUG
rnacentral:rRNA from 1 species